rnacentral:rRNA from 1 species
GAUGAACGCUAGCUACAGGCUUAACACAUGCAAGUCGAGGGGCAGCAUGGUCUUAGCUUGCUAAGGCCGAUGGCGACCGGCGCACGGGUGAGUAACACGUAUCCAACCUGCCGUCUACUCUUGGACAGCCUUCUGAAAGGAAGAUUAAUACAAGAUGGCAUCAUGAGUCCACAUGUUCACAUGAUUAAAGGUAUUCCGGUAGACGAUGGGGAUGCGUUCCAUUAGAUAGUAGGCGGGGUAACGGCCCACCUAGUCUUCGAUGGAUAGGGGUUCUGAGAGGAAGGUCCCCCACAUUGGAACUGAGACACGGUCCAAACUCCUACGGGAGGCAGCAGUGAGGAAUAUUGGUCAAUGGGCGCAGGCCUGAACCAGCCAAGUAGCGUGAAGGAUGACUGCCCUAUGGGUUGUAAACUUCUUUUAUAAAGGAAUAAAGUCGGGUAUGCAUACCCGUUUGCAUGUACUUUAUGAAUAAGGAUCGGCUAACUCCGUGCCAGCAGCCGCGGUAAUACGGAGGAUCCGAGCGUUAUCCGGAUUUAUUGGGUUUAAAGGGAGCGUAGAUGGAUGUUUAAGUCAGUUGUGAAAGUUUGCGGCUCAACCGUAAAAUUGCAGUUGAUACUGGAUAUCUUGAGUGCAGUUGAGGCAGGCGGAAUUCGUGGUGUAGCGGUGAAAUGCUUAGAUAUCACGAAGAACUCCGAUUGCGAAGGCAGCCUGCUAAGCUGCAACUGACAUUGAGGCUCGAAAGUGUGGGUAUCAAACAGGAUUAGAUACCCUGGUAGUCCACACGGUAAACGAUGAAUACUCGCUGUUUGCGAUAUACAGCAAGCGGCCAAGCGAAAGCGUUAAGUAUUCCACCUGGGGAGUACGCCGGCAACGGUGAAACUCAAAGGAAUUGACGGGGGCCCGCACAAGCGGAGGAACAUGUGGUUUAAUUCGAUGAUACGCGAGGAACCUUACCCGGGCUUAAAUUGCAGAUGAAUUACGGUGAAAGCCGUAAGCCGCAAGGCAUCUGUGAAGGUGCUGCAUGGUUGUCGUCAGCUCGUGCCGUGAGGUGUCGGCUUAAGUGCCAUAACGAGCGCAACCCUUGUUGUCAGUUACUAACAGGUUCCGCUGAGGACUCUGACAAGACUGCCAUCGUAAGAUGUGAGGAAGGUGGGGAUGACGUCAAAUCAGCACGGCCCUUACGUCCGGGGCUACACACGUGUUACAAUGGGGGGUACAGAGGGCCGCUACCACGCGAGUGGAUGCCAAUCCCCAAAACCUCUCUCAGUUCGGACUGGAGUCUGCAACCCGACUCCACGAAGCUGGAUUCGCUAGUAAUCGCGCAUCAGCCACGGCGCGGUGAAUACGUUCCCGGGCCU